rnacentral:lncRNA from 1 species
CGGUGCAUCCAAAAGUUAAAAGAUAUACUUCCAGCGAUAAAACAGAUAUAGAAGAUCCAUUCAUAACUUAAGGGCCUAUUUGAUAUGACUUCAACUCUUAACUUUAAUUCUAGUAGUGGGAUUUUGAGUGAAUCUAUUGAGCGGCCAAAACCUAGAUCUAUCCAUCUGAUUUAUUUUUUCGGAUUACUCAAAUCUAUCAUAUUCCUAUUCUAGAUUAAGAUAAAAUUGCACGAUUGAACUUCAACUCCGAAAAAAGAGGAAGCUGGAGGUAAAGCUGUGCUAAACGGACCCGAUCCUACCGGAUCACCGUCACGCACUCAGGCUCAGCCGAGCCACUCAUAAUAAUCGGGAAGAAAGUGAAGGGAGUUGUUGAUCUAGUGGGCUGCUUAAAUAUUUGGUCCUUGGGCCCUGCAGAUGCAGCGUCGGCACGCCAGUCUCUUCGUGUAGCGGCAGCAGCACUUCGUGUCUGGAGAAAUUUGAUGGUUGAAAAGGAUGGACACCCACUGACUGUAACAUUGGUUUGAACAUUUUUUAUGUGAAAGGAUGAACAAAUAUGUGAAACGAUGGACAGAAAAUAUCAAGCUCAUUUAUUUAUUAUUUAUUUUCUUGUACUUUAGGCAUAGAUUAUAUUUCUAUUAAUUUAUACUAAUUGUUUUAAUGAGACGAAUAAUCAAACAUGUGCCAAAAGGUAAUGACGUCAUCUAUUAAAAACUGAGCUAGUAUAUGGUUGUGUUCAUACAACAAAAGAGGGAAAUUGGCUUUGUACUCAUGAUUGUACUUUUGUGUCGCAUAAGUGAUAUAUGAGUAGGGUAAUUAUUGGUUAAAGUUUUGUUCAAACAAAAUAAGAUUUGCCUUGUACUUUAAAACGUAGAGAGUAGAACCGAGGCACACCAACAUAACAAAUUGUGGAAAGGCUUAAGGUUAGUCCCAUAGUAGGUUAGUAACAAAGACGUCAGAUUAAAUGCUCGCCAUUUACCCAUCAUCAUAUUGCAAAUUCAAUUCUCAAUAACUAAUGUUAAGAUAGAAUUACAACACCCACGAAAUUUAAAAUUUGAGAACAACUAUUAUUACCAACUACAUAAACAUAAAACAUAGAAAUAAUGGUGAAGUUUUCAAAAAGCUACAUAACAAAGUCAUAGAGAGAAGUUCCUAAUUAGGUUCAUUGGGCAGACAGGCAGGCAUCAAAUAAUAACAAAGACAAGCAAGGAAAAGACCCAACAAAUCAUGAAACAACAAAGUUAUGCAGGGUUCUUUAGGGUUGGCAACAGGACAGGUCAAGGUUGGGUUGGGCAAGAACGGCCCUGGCCCCGACCUAGCUCCGAACACAAAAAAACAAGGUUAAUUUCUUCUCCGGCCCUAGCCCUGGUGUAUCCCCGGCGCUGAAUGGGGCCCUGCAAAAACAUCACACACAGACAAACAAGUAUAGAAAGAACUCAUGGUAGAGACGACGGUGAGGAUGCUUGUCGCCACCGGCUCGGUGCGGACGCUGCCUGCUUGCCCGGGCUAGUUGCCGCAUGCUCGGGGCCGGUGCGGCCUGCUAGAGCCGCUGCUGCCGCCUUCUCGUUGCCCGCUCAAGGUGCGUCACCGCCACCACCGCCUGUCGGACUAGGUAGAGAGAGGGACUAGGGGGUGGAUAACAUGAUAAGGGUUUGUUAGGUAACUUACUAACUUAGGUUGGACCAAGUGGGUUUUUUGGCCUUCUAUUUACUACAUGAACACAUAAAUAUAAAUUUAUGAGGCCCUGUUCUAACUAGGGCCCUAGGCAGUCACACCUCCCGCCACCCUUGGAAGCCUGGGUCAUCCAUGCAUGAACAUCUCCACUGUGGAGAAGAGAGGGAGAGAAAAAUCCAAACUUAUCACCAUGCCUUGGCGAAGGCACAGGUGGUUUGGGAGAUAGAG